CCCAUUUCGAUCGCUACUGUACAGUCAAUGGCGGCAUGGCGGAGUCGCGCAUUGGAACUUGGAAGUGGAUGCAUGUACGACUUGAGGUGGCGUUGCAUGUGGGAGGCCCCGUCGGUAAUGUUCGCAGACUGGUCAUUUGAUGAUACGUGUGCACAGUGGUAGUGAUUGGGUGCCUCAAGAGGGAAUCGCAGAGCAUAACCACCCAUAGAGCUAAAAGUCAUGGAAGAUUUUUAAAAUUGUUAUUUGAUUUUGUGUUGUUACAGCAGUAGUAUGUCCUUCAACAAUCUGUUAUGUCUAACCAUGGAAUGAGUUGCAUGUGACUAAGUCAACCAAACGGGGCAACAACAAUUAGUCAGCAAUGGAAUUAGUCAGUGGAGAACAACAUUCAUUCCUGAGCAUGAUUGAAAUUUGCCAUGUUUUCAGGCCAACUGGAAGGAUUUUUCUUUUUCACAGAACUUUACCAUUUUCAUGGUAUACUUAAUUGCUUGUCAGUGGAUUGUCACUUGGCAUCGUUUGAAUGGUAGAAUAAUCGCAAUGUCGUGGUAGUAAUUCACGAGAGAUAUGCCAAUAGGGUUUCGCUAUUUUCAAUUCACAAUAGUAAUGGAUUCGAAGAGGAUAUUGAUGGAGUUUUGGUAUAAAAAAGUAUAAGUAUAUGUUCGUUGGAAGGGCAACCGAAGAGUUCCGGAUCCUUUUACUAUCGCACAUGUUACGUGUGUGUAAAACUAAAGGCUAAAAGAAGAAUGAUUCAAAAAUUGUGGGAGAGAAUCAUCAAAGAAUUAUACUCGUUUAGGUAAUCCAAGGAAAUAAGAAAGAGUAUUAACUCGGCGUAGUCUUCGAUUCCGUCUUUUUAAAAGCUGUUUUUUCUGUGCGUGGAACUUUUUUGGUCGAGACGUUAUGGGUGUCUUAAAGGCACUGAAGGUUGCAUUAGGUCCCAAACAAAAAGGGAACGCUGAAAAUCGAUGGCGAUGGGAAUUAGUGGCAAUGUUACUGUGUAGAUAACUUCAGAAAGUGUGACUCCAGCUAAUGUAAACCGCACCAGCUCUGCUAUUACCAAGUCUGUCUCACUUUUGCCGCCUAGCAGGAAAAGGUUGUGAGAGUAGCAGAAGAAUAGGAAAUUGCAGUAAACCCGGUUUUGAAAGAAGCCAAACUUUCCGAUGAUAUGGGAGCCCAGCCUGUGGAAACAAAAACCCUAUGUUUCAGAUAGAAAGACAAAAGGAACACAUCGUUCAUAAGCUACUUCUGAGGACCACUGUCACCGAAAGAAAAAUCACAUCGCUUAUAGACUCGACAGCGAGACCCAAAAACUUGCAACAACGAAGCAAGUGCUCCACUGUUACAGACCGCAAUGUGUAAAUGCGUCACAUCCGGGAAAUUAAUACUGCAGUAACCAGAGCGGUUAAAAAAAUGGCACCAACUCCUACAUAUCAGAUGAUGAAAAUCCUACUCGUUUUGUCAUGGGAUCACUAUUUCCGGAGAUAUUGGCUACUUCCGGUUACUUCCGGAAAAUUUUUGUGACAAUCAGCAAAAAGGAAAAAAUAAGCUGUAUUUUUAUAACAAUUUCAAAUACUUUUCUCGUAUGCGUAAGGGUGUGGUAGCUAUUAUUCCAUGUUUUUCUUGCUUAGACACUACAGGCUGAUCCUACGAGCUACGGCAGUUUUACCUACAAAUGUUUAGCGUUUCGUGCUGCAACUAGAGUUGAUAUUCCAGGAUGUUAUGCCUAAAUUUGGAAUUCAGCUAUCAGAGAUUAGCAAAAUUGAAGUACUUAAACGCAAGUAUUGUUCUUGACGGGAUAGUUAUAUGGGACAGCUGACAUACCUAUACAAAUUCUACGGAGUUAGUUAUUUCUCCCCUAGAUGUCUUGUAAGACAUAUAUGAUACGUCAGUUGUCCUGUCAGCUGUUCCAUUUCGCGUGGCUUCGGACUGAGGAUGUCUGCUGAAACAAACUUCUCUCUUCUUGAAAAUUUUCCACCGAUUCCGUCUGUUUUGAGUUGCAUCUUGUGAAUUCACUCAAGGCAGAGUCUUCAAGGAGGAACAUGGCUUGGCUUUGCUAUCACAUUUUUCCUCUACGUUAGUCUAAUAUACCCAUUUUGCACCAAAGGUCUUUGGGGGUGUACCUGAUGUACUGUGGUGGUCGUAAAAUCAUUCAGUGAUUUAGUUCAAUCCAGGACUUGGUUUUUCGAUAGUGGUUUACAGUUUUUAUUUGCAGAGAUCCUGGAGCCAUCUGAUGUGUUUCAUUGACGUUGGAGUCAAUCGGUGAUAGAAGAGAAUGCCGCUAAGGUUAUGUUGUCAGUGUAAAUAAAACAUAUCCAGUAUCAUUCUUGUAUUUGUUGAAUUAUCACCUCAUUCAAUGGAAACAAAGAAGUUAAAGAUGUGAUUAUACUUGAAGUCAAAUGGAACAAAGAAAACAACUUAUCCACUGAUGUUUCACCGACCGUGAAAUCUAUUGAAUUAAGUAUUAGUGAGAUGGCUGGACUUCGAUUAUUUAUUUUCCAAACCUUUUUCACUCCAAGUUUAUCUUUGAUAUGCAUACAUUCGAAUAAGGCGAAAUAAAUUAAACAUCAAG